GAGAAGUUGAGCAACUUGGAGGUGAAUAAAAAUGGGAAGUGCCUUCUAGACAUAUCAAUUCCUAUUCCAAAUAGUAUAUUCUUCAGGAAAGGUGAGAUAGGCGACUGGGCAAAUCACUUGACACCUGAAAUGGGAGCACGUCUAGAUGACAUAAUGGAGCGGAAGCUCAAGGGUUCAGGCUUGAAGCUGCCCAGGUGACUGUGCCUGGGCCCCGUUUGCUUAUUAUUAUUGGCUUAGUGGGUUCGUCAAAAGCUGUUAUCAACAUCUCGUGAAACAGCAACCGUGUAUCCCAAUAAAUACCCUCUCUGUUCAUCUCUUGUAUUUCCUAGCAAGUAUUCACAUUUUGUGAAUCAUCCAUGUCAAUAAGCAAUAUUCUUUUGUGAAUCUGUGUUUGUAACUUUCAUUGAUUUCCUUGCAAGUUUGUAAGAAUUAAAAAUGGGAUUCGUUUUUUAUUUAUUUAUUUAACACAAGUGCAUGCAUUCCAUUAAUCAGUGAUAAAAAAAAAUAAAAUUACUCUACUAUAUAAUAUUAGAGUGUUUUCUUCACAGAAAUUGCAGUGUGUUUUCUUCACACUGCAAUACAUGUUUUAAAAGAACCGAGACAACCAUACAUGAGGGCGGAGCAAAUACCAACCGAGACAACCAUCCAUUAAGAUUGUUGAAUUGAAGAUCAAAUGAACAUAGGCGGCACAUCUGCUGAAAGGAUCUCGAAAUGCCUUGUAAUUGGUUAAAAUAAAGAUCAAGAUCUGUAGGAGAACUCGUGUUUUCCACUCCUAAAAUAAGCCCAGUUGCCGGCUUCAUGUGCAACAGAGGCACAUAGAGAAUCUCCCCCCCCCCCCCUCCAGGCUCAGAUCACAAAUCUUCUUACUUCAAACCAAUCUUUUGGAACCGAUAUAUAUGUCGAGUGAUGGCUUGAUUUAUACCGGAGAUUGUGUUGGAAAAUUAAAGAAGCAUGGCUUAAUUUGUACCUUGGAUGCGCAAAUUGAUUACAGGAAAAUAUCAAAAAAAAAUUUCCUUUCUUUAUAACUUAUGAAGAGUAAAAUAAAAAAAAAGUUAAUAGUAAAACAAAAUAACCCCAAGUGUACAUUAUCAAUGCAAAACUAGAUUUUUCCUUAUUUUAUAUCCCUUUCUUUUGAUAUACUUCUUCUUUUAUGCCCCUUUCUUUUGGUAUAUCUCUUCUUUGUAUCUUUUGGUGUUAAUCACUUUGUUGAAUGCCUCUGUUGAUAUCUUUUAUAACUCACUACAGUGAUUUGAACAUUGAAAAUGUUUCCUUUUAAAAAAAAAAAAUAGAGAAGGCAUUUUGAUUUCAUCUUCAAUUUUUCUGCAUGUCUUCUUCUUUCAAAGUAUUGGGUUUAAAACACAAUCAUGCUCUACAUCAUGCUUUGAGUUUUCCAGGUUAUUUUCAGAAAGAUUUGAUAUAUUUGACCUGAAAGAAAAAAAGGAUGUACAAAGCUUUGCAUUUCUGGAACGUCUUUUCAUCAUGCUCUACAUGAUUCAAUCACAUUGCUCACAUCUACAUGAGUAACCAGAAAAGCAAGUAUUUCAUCGGAUUCUACAUGAUUCGAUCACUUCGCUCACAGCUUUAUGAGUCUCUGGUGAUAUCGUGUUUAAUUAAAUAGAAUAUUUAUUAUAAGAAACAGAUUUAUCAAAUAUAAUUGAGUAUAUGCCUCAUCAUAUCAAAUAUUUUAAUUAGAUGUAACUAUCUAGGUGGUGGUUCAGUGGUAAAAGUUUGGGACCAAGAUGUUUGUUCCCUCUGUGGUCUCAGGUUCGAGCCCUGUGGUUGCUCAUAUGAUGGUCAUUGGAGGCUUACAUGGUCGUUAACUUCAGGGCCCGUGGGAUUAGUCAAGGUGCACGCAAGCUGAUCCGGACAUCCAUGUUAAACUAAAAAAAUAUAUAUAUUUUAAUUAGAUGCGUGUGUACAAGUAUUUUAAUUUAUGAUUAAGAAUUUUUUUAUAUCAAAAAAAAAUUAAAAAGUCUGUAUAUUUAUUUUUCCUUGUUAAAACAAUUAUCUGAAAUAGCCAGUAAUCAACUAACUAUGAAAGAUAAGAUUGAGAAUUGAGAAGUUUAUUUGUCAGCAGACAGUAGCUUCAGUAGAUGGAAAAAGACUCUCUAGAUCACCGGAUCAAUUCCCACCUUCAUGAACUAUUUUUUAUUAGUACAGAAAGCUUCAUAUCAGUCAAAACUCUCUCUCUCUCUCUCUCUCUCUCUCUCUCUCUCUAAAUGGAUCAGAGACUACACAAAUAUAGAGGUGGAGCUUCACAUUAAGCUUCAGAUCAAUUUUCUAUUUUAAAAUCUCAUAAGUUUGGUCCAUUGAUUGCCCUAGAUUGCCCUAGAUUUUCCUGUGUUUUAUAUCCUUUUCUUUUGACAUUUUUUUUAAUCUUUUUCCAGGCCAAAAUCCUAAUUUAAUGUUUGAAAUUGAGAUGAUAAUUAUUUAACUAGAAAAUAUAUUAAAAUAAUAUUUUUUAUUUUUAAAAAUUUAUUUUAAUCAUCACCACAUUAAAACAAUCUAAAAUUAUAUAAAAAAAUUAAAAUAAUAAGAUUUAAAAAUAUUUUUUAAACACAAAAACAAACACAAUCAUCACUCAUAUAUCAUGAGAUUUGCAUUUAGACAUUAAAAUUCAAGAAGAAAUUAAGUUCACCGUACUAUUAAUUCAGUCGAUGAAGGAUUAGUCCCAACUACUUUAGGCCACCAUUAAUUACUUUAUUUAAAUGUAUACUUCUUUAUUAAUUCAGUCGAUGAAGGAUUAGUCCCAACUACUUUGGGCAUUUUAACUCCAUCUUCAAUUACUUUAUUUAAAGGUAUCCUUCUUUCUUAGAUAUUGAAUUUUGAAAACACAAUCAUGCUAAAGAUUUGUCAACGAAUUGUUUUUUAAAAUAAAAAAAUAUUUUAAAAAAUAAUUAAUACCAUACUACCGAGCAAAUGAAGUUAUGUGGAGGGUUCCGCACCAUUUAAAGGUUGUAAAGAAAGGUUUAAAACACAAUGACGAUAAAGAUUUGCUAUCGAAUAUAAUAUGAAAUAAUAAUACCCAAUUGCAUCAGCGGACAUGUGAUCAACAAUAUUAAAAUUCUGUAAAUUUUGAUUUAAUUCAAUUAUUGGAAUUCCAGGCAGCGUGGCAAUGUCAGAAAAUCUUGGACGAUGGUGACUAAAUGUUUGUAAAUGGAGACGGCACGUUCGCGGAAGGUAAUAGUCGAUGGUGCCAAAAAUUAAAUCAGCUCUCAACUCGUUACAAAUAGCUGCCAUGGCCUUUCAUUCUACAUUAUUUUUUCUUUUUUCACAUUCAUGGAAUCCUCUUUGCCUUCCACCCAAAUCUUGGAUUCUGGUGAAAGUGCUGAGAGGAAAAAUGAAGCUAAAAAUUACAAUGAAGUCAUGUCCACCCUUCCAAAAGUAAAAGGCUUGAAUGGGUGUGAUUAUUACCUGUACCAAUGCUUUUGGUACGAUCCCUCCUUCUUGGAAGGAAUCAUGUCUGUUCAAGAGCGCUUCAAUCCUCAAUCCACUGAUAUAUUUCUCGCCAGUUUUCCAAAAACUGGCACAACUUGGCUUAAGGCCCUCACUUUUGCUAUUUGUACACGAUCCCGUUUAAGUGGUUCAACAACUAGUUCUUUACUUUCCAAGAUGCCACAUGACUGUGUUCCUUUUAUGGAAUAUGACCUUGCUCAGAACCCAAGUAAUCGGGACUUGGCAAUUCCUCUGGUAUCUACUCAUGUUCCUUACACUUGUUUACCUAAAUCUAUCAUUUCUUCUUGUUGCAAGAUUAUUUACAUUUGCAGGGACGCAAAGGAUGUUUUUGUUUCUUUGUGGUACUUUCUUGCCAGGCUGCAAAUGUCUGAAAAUGUUGAGCCUCUUCUUCUGGAAGAGGCUUUUGAGUUGUUUUGCAAUGGAAUUGCAAAUUUUGGACCCUACUGGAACCAUGUUUUAGGGUACUGGAGAGCAAGCUUGGAGUUCCCCGAGAAGAUACUGUUCUUGACAUAUGAGGAAAUGAAGAAAGACACCGCUGCUCAUGUUAAGAAAUUAGCUGAGUUCAUGGGUUGUUCUUUCACCCUAGAGGAAGAGGAGGAAGGGGAGGUGCAAAAGAUAAUAGGCAUGUGUAGUUUUGAGAAGUUGAGCAACUUGGAGGUGAAUAAAAAUGGGAAGUGCCUUCUAGACAUAUCAAUUCCUAUUCCAAAUAGUAUAUACUUCAGGAAAGGUGAGAUAGGCGACUGGGCAAAUCACUUGACACCUGAAAUGGGAGCACGUCUAGAUGACAUAAUGGAGCGGAAGCUCAAGGGUUCAGGCUUGAAGCUGCCCAGGUGACUGCGCCUGGGUCCCAUUUGCUUCUG
rnacentral:lncRNA from 1 species